AGUGAACGCUGGCGGCAGGCCUAACACGUGCAAGUCGAGCGGCAGCGCGUCCGACCACCCUCGGGUGGUCGGAUGGCGGCGAGCGGCGGACGGGUGAGGAAUGCAUCGGAAUCUGCCUCGUUGUGGGGGAGUAACGUAGGGAAACGUUACGCUAAUACCGCAUACGACCUACGGGUGAAAGUGGGGGACCGUUCGGGCCUCACGCGAUGAGAUGAGCCGAUGCCGGAUUAGCUAGUUGGCGGGGUAAAGGGCCCGACCAACGGCGACGAUCCGUAGCUGGUCUGAGAGGAUGAUCAGCCACACUGGAACUGAGACACGGUCCAGACUCCUAC
rnacentral:rRNA from 1 species